AAUAUACUCCCUCUAAACCCAAAAUUCUUGUCUUAAAUUUGUCUACAUAUAAAUGUAUCUACUCACGUUUUAGUAUUUACAUACAUUCAUUUUUAGAUAAACUUAAGACAAGAAUUUUGGAAGGAAUGGAGUAGUAG
rnacentral:pre_miRNA from 1 species